GGUGGUGCUGUUUGAAGAAGUGGAACAUCGGUUAAGCCCAAACUCUGCUCCCCAGAACAUCGUGCUCCCCAAGGCUGAGCGUGGUCUUUUCUCCCAUCUCCUGCAGCAUGGGUACAAUGAGGGAAAGGAAAGGGAAAGGAGCAAAACCAACUGGGAUGAGAGCACAGAAGAGGAAAACUACUGAGAAACUCCUUUUUACAAUGCUGAGAAAGGAAGAGAGCUCUGCAGUGAAGAGAGGUGACCUGGCAGAAGGAGCGCACAGAAGAGAAGUGCAGUGCCACACGUGACAUGGACGCCGUGGGGCAGGUGCAGGGAGGCUGUGCAAGCCUGCACUGGCACAUGGGGCCCAGGCAUGAGCUCUUCUCAUUGUGCAGGAGAAGCACAAAACAAAACUUUCACGUCAAGGGUCUACACUGGUGGCCAAAGAGCUGACUUGAGCAGGCAGAUGUGUUUUGUUUGGCCAGUACAAUGUGUGUGUGUGCACGCCUGGGUGCGUGUGCGCACGUGUGUGAACCUGCAUGUGUACAUGCAUGUGUGUUGUGGUUUGUGUCUGAUGGCAUAAGUGAAUAAACUUGGUUCUGGUUUAUCAUU